rnacentral:RNase_P_RNA from 2 species
AAGAUACGCCGGAUGGUCGCCCCGCCAACAUUUAAAAAUAAUCGUAGGCGGGGAGGAAAGUCCGAACACUAUCAAAAGGGCAGUGGCUAACGGCCACGCUUCGGAGAAGAAAUUUUCUGGAGACGGAUAGUGUCACAGAGACAAUACUAGUUUUGGAACUUACCAAAACAAAAGGUGAAAAGUGUCCCGCUCGCAGCGGGACUCGUCCGCCUCGCGAGAGGCGGAAUGCGAAAAACCCUGCCUGGUGCAAGGCCGUGCUCCGACGCAAGGUCGGAGAGGGCCGCUUCAGACUAUUCCGCAAGGAGUAGCCGAGAUAAAUGACCAUCGGUCGCGCUAAGCGCGAUGCACAGAAUUCGGCUUACAGGCGUAUCUAAAAU